AUUGAACGCUGGCGGCAGGCCUAACACAUGCAAGUCGAGCGGUAGCACAGAGAGCUUGCUCUCGGGUGACGAGCGGCGGACGGGUGAGUAAUGUCUGGGAAACUGCCUGAUGGAGGGGGAUAACUACUGGAAACGGUAGCAAAUACCGCAUAACGUCGCAAGACCAAAGUGGGGGACCUUCGGGCCUCAUGCCAUCAGAUGUGCCCAGAUGGGAGUAGCUAGUAGGUGGGGUAACGGCUCACCUAGGCGACGAUCACUAGCUGGUCUGAGAGGAUGACCAGCCACACUGGAAAUGAGACACGGUCCAGACGCCUACGGGAGGCAGCAGUGGGGAAUAUUGCACAAUGGGCGCAAGCCUGAUGCAGCCAUGCCGCGUGUGUGAAGAAGGCCUUCGGGUUGUAAAGCACUUUCAGCGGGGAGGAAGGCGGUGAGGUUAAUAACCUCAUCGAUUGACGUUACCCGCAGAAGAAGCACCGGCUAACUCCGUGCCAGCAGCCGCAGUAA
rnacentral:rRNA from 1 species